GCGGGUGUCGCCAAGUGGUAAGGCACUAGCUUCCCAAGCUAGCAUUCGACGGUUCGAAUCCGUUCACCCGCU
rnacentral:tRNA from 1 species